GCAAAACAGGGGACACACUCAUGCUCAACAAUUAUUCCUUUCAACAUGCAUCAUUAGACACAUUACCAAUUAUCAAACAUUCAUAAAUAUAGUUCCAAACCAUACCAAAACUCCAAAGUCCAAAAUCAUAAUAAACAAAUAAUAAUCAAGCGUAAUUCUAAAAUAAUUAUAAAACCACAUACUCAAAAGUUUAUUGCCUUUCUAGGAUCACUUCCUUAGCUGCACCGCUCACAUCGAAAACACU
rnacentral:lncRNA from 1 species